GGGUGUAUCAACAAUACAAUGUUCCCAUGGUUGAUAAAUCUAUUGUGGGUGUGGGUGUGAGUGUGGGAGGGAAGGUUUAGCUCAUUGACCUUCCAUAAUCAAGAUGCAAUUUUGGUGGCACUUGUAAAAGCUAUUGAUUGGAGUUUCAGAUAUUGGUUUAUAUUUCUGCGCUUAUGAUUGGAGGAAGCCAACUUUGUUUCUUAGAGGGUAGGG
rnacentral:misc_RNA from 1 species